rnacentral:rRNA from 1 species
GAUGAACGCUAGCGGCAGGCUUAAUACAUGCAAGUCGAGGGGUAGCAAGAUUGUAGCAAUACAAUUGUUGACGACCGGCAAACGGGUGCGGAACACGUACACAACCUUCCUACAAGUGGGGAAUAGCCCAGAGAAAUUUGGAUUAAUACCCCGUAACAUAGCGAUGUGGCAUCACAUUGCUAUUAUAGCUUCGGCGCUUGUUGAUGGGUGUGCGGCUGAUUAGAUAGUUGGCGGGGUAAGGGCCCACCAAGUCUACGAUCAGUAGCGGAUGUGAGAGCAUGAUCAGCCACACGGGCACUGAGACACGGGCCCGACUCCUACGGGAGGCAGCAGUAAGGAAUAUUGGACAAUGGACGAAAGUCUGAUCCAGCCAUGCCGCGUGAAGGAUUAAGGUCCUCUGGAUUGUAAACUUCUUUUAUAAGGGACGAAAAAAGGUCUUUCUAGAUCGUCUGACGGUACCUUAUGAAUAAGCACCGGCUAACUCCGUGCCAGCAGCCGCGGUAACAC